CCUUCCUGUCGAAGAUUGCACUGCAGCGUGGGCAUAACAUUACUUCAGUCCUCAUCUUUUGGCACCUCUUGAUGAAUUCUAUUAGAUUUUCCUCCUCUUUAGGAUACGCCAGCCUUUGGUACUCCUUUCGACGACGAUCUUCACCCAUUUCAGCUUGAUCUCCCUGAGAUACUUCCACCAUGUUUAUCCCAACAUUUCGUUCGUCAGCAAUGCUUA
rnacentral:lncRNA from 1 species